rnacentral:misc_RNA from 1 species
GGUUUUAUCUGGUUGGUGCUUGUCUUCUGGGUUUGGAGCUUUUUCCCCAAUGGUGGGUUCCUUCAAGGUUGAUACGCUAAGCGUCUCCAAGAUUCACAGAGCUGCUUUGAUGGUUGGAUGGCUGGAUGGCUGACUCCCAAAGAGAAUAAGACACUAGCAUGCUCUGCUUAGCGUCAAAUCGCAAAGCCAUAGUCAAUGGCUCUGGUUUUUUGGCUAAUAAGUUUUUAUUGUUGGCUAGGUUGCGUUUCAAUGGUGAUUUUCGAAUGGUUUGCUAGCUUAGGUUGAGCUUUGCAGCAACUACAAUCCACUAUUUUCAGUUGGCAGUCAGCUUUGGUGCAGCGACAAUGCUAGUGACAUUGAGAGUCUUGUGAUUUUAUCUUUUAGGUCGCCUAGGGUUUCUACUGCAAGGAGCUUGGGACUUGGGCUCUGUAACUUGAGCUGAACUUCUAGGCUUCACAUUG